GGCUCGGCGGGGGCGCGCUGCCGACAGGUCGCGGCGGGAGCGGAGGCGAAGCGGAGGCGAAGCGGCGGCGGCUCCUCCUGCCGAGGGCCUGGUGUUAAGCUGCCCCGGGAGCACAGCUGUGUAACGUGUCCGAGCAUGAAGGGCCUGUGAGGCCACGCGGAUGCGCUCAGAGUAUCCUUGAAACAGACAUAGAAGUAGCACUUUAAUGUGCAACGUUUCAGAGUGUAUGGAGGAUGUGGUUCAAAUUCUGUUCAUGUAAGAAUGAAGAUCUGAUUGCUGGAAAGAGAUGUUUUGGAAGAUUUUUCUCCCUGAAUUCCAUCAUAUAUUCAUACCCAGGCCAAAAUUCUUUCAAGUUGUUCCUCCUGAGUCACAUUUUCUGCCUCUUACCAUCCUAAUCAUGCUCCUGAAAGUGCUGUUUAAUGCUCAGUACAGGUCACAUUACUCCAGCCGAGACCUCACCAGUCCUGAAUCAACUGCGUGGUUUACUUCACGUGUUUUACCAAUGGCAAUUCUAUUUUUACUUCUCAGUAAAAUGUUUGCUUUUUUUGCAAUCACGCAACACCAUCAACUCAUGUUCAGUUUGUGGGCCGAUAUAGCCCCAUGUCCUUUCCUGCAGGGAUGCAGUCUGAAUGAGUUGGCAGUAUCAAGUCCAAUUUGGCAGAAACACAAGGCUAACUUUAAAAAAGAGGAAUUGUUUAAUGAUUUAAGAAUAGAACUGAAGCAUUUGUAAAGUUUCUAUUAUGUAAACAUUUCACAGCAGCAUUAGCAAGCCAAACUUGUACUCGGUAAUUUGAAAAGGAAAUUCAUUUUUUGAUCAUUAGGAAGCAUAUUUUUAGUUAGUUAAGCUGAAGAAGUAAAAAUUAAACAGCAUACAAAAUACAACAUUAUUGUUUAAUUUUGAUAAUUUUUUAUAAACUGAAAGCAUUUGUAAUAC